CCCGCUGGUCGGGCUGGCGGUGGCCGCCCUGGGUCGCGUUCCCGUGGACGGCAUGGCAGGACCUAGGCCAGUAGUGCUGAGCGGGCCAUCAGGGGCAGGGAAGAGCACUCUGCUCAAGAAGUUGUUCCAGGAACAUGGCAGUGUCUUUGGCUUCAGCGUAUCCCACACUACAAGGAACCCACGACCUGGCGAAGAAGAUGGCAAAGAUUACUACUUUGUGACCAGGGAGAUGAUGCAGCGUGAUAUUGCAGCAGGGGACUUCAUUGAGCAUGCUGACUGGCUUGCUGAGGCCCAAUGACUCCGAAGAAGAGUACCCACAUCUAUUCUCCCUGGGCUAUUUGUGUUCCUCUCCGUUCCUCCUGCUGGAGCGGGACUGACAUUCUAAUAAAGUAAUUACUGAGU
rnacentral:lncRNA from 1 species